ACUGCCGGCGCAGCCCGGCGCUGCGGGCUGUGUAGUUGGAACUUCGGGCUGUCUGUGUGCAUCCUGCUCUGUGCCUGCCACUUGGCGCGCCACCCGAGCUAUGGCCGCCCCACCGCGGUUGCGGGCUCUGCUCCUUGCGGUCAACGCACUAUUGCGCAAGCGCCGCUACCACGCUGCCUUGGCGAUGCUUAAGGGGUUCCGGAACGGGGUAGUCUAUGGAGUCAAAAUCCGGACCCCUCACGCGCUGGUCAUGACAUUUCUCUUCCGGAGUGGCAGCUUCCGGGAGAAGCUGCGGGCCAUCCUGCAAGCCACGUACAUCCAUUCCCGGAACCUGGCUUGCUUUGUGUUUGCCUACAAGGGACUCUGUGCCCUGCAGUCCUGCGUGCAGGGCGAGACCUACCAGGUGCACUCCUUCCUGGCUGCCUUCGUCGGGGGCUGGCUGGUGUUUGGAGACAACAAUAGCAUCAACAGCCAGAUCAACAUGUACCUGGUGUCGCGCACCCUGUUCGCGCUGUGCCGCCUUGGCGUGGAGAAAGGCUACAUCCCUGAACCCAAGCGGGACCCAUUCCCGCUGCUCACUGCCGUGGUGUGGGGGCUGGUCCUGUGGCUGUUUGAGUACCACAGGCACACGCUGCAGCCCUCCCUGCAGUCUUCCAUGACCUACCUGUACCAGGACAGCAACGUGUGGCACGACAUCUUAGACUUCCUCGUCUACAACAAGAGCCGCCCCUCGCAGUGACGCGGACCCAAGGUGCUUAUGGGGUCUUGGACACCCGAGUAGGCUCCCGGCUGUGUCUGGCUGUGGCUUGAGAGGUGUCCAUCAGUGAAACCUCCCAGAGGAUCCUGCUUUCUCAAGAUCAUGGGUCUCAGGCUCUAAUUUUAUUAUCCCAGGGUUCCAUUUGCCGAAGUAAAAGCACUGAUUGUCAGAUCCCAUUAGGUACUCUUGAAUGGUGGAACAAGUGGCUGCAUCAGGCUGAGGAGCCUUGGGCAUGGUUCCAGCUGUGCUGCCGACCUCUGUGACACCAGGGAAAGUCACACCCCCUCUGGGCCUCAGGGGUCAUCGAGCUCAGAGGAGGGCCCUGAAGUCUCUUUCUGACCUGCAAGGCCAGAGGAUUGACACAUCCCAGGAGCAGCCCUCAACCAGUGAGUGAUGAACGCCCCCGCCCACACUGGGUGGGAUAACUGAGACACAUGCUGCACACUGGCUUCCAGAGCGCCCAGCAGGACUGAGAUGCAGUUGCCCACGGUGGACACUUGCUUGAUAACACCCCCUUCCCUGUCUUCCUUCCUCAUGCCCCUACCAUUGCUUGCUGGGACCACUUCCCAUAUAAACCACUUGCACUCAGAUUGUCUUGGGUCUGCUUUCGGGGGAACCCAAACUAAAAUUGGCCUCUGGUGCAGCAGGUUGAGAGGUAGUACAACAUGGUGGUUAGGGAUGUAGGCUUUGGGGCCAGCGUGCCCAGGCUCAGCUCUGGCCCCGCUGUUUCCUUGGGCAAGUGACUUAACCAUUCUGUGCCUCUGUUUUGUCAUCUGUAAAAUAGGCAUGCUAAUAGCACACACCUCAUAGGGUGGUCUGGAGAAUUAAAUGAUACGACUCAUAUAAA